UAGGGAAUCUUCGGCAAUGGACGAAAGUCUGACCGAGCAACGCCGCGUGAGUGAAGAAGGUUUUCGGAUCGUAAAACUCUGUUGUUAGAGAAGAACAAGGACGUUAGUAACUGAACGUCCCCUGACGGUAUCUAACCAGAGAGCCACGGCUAACUACGUGCCAGCAGCCGCGGUAAUACGUAGGUGGCAAGCGUUGUCCGGAUUUAUUGGGCGUAAAGCGAGCGCAGGCGGUUUCUUAAGUCUGAUGUGAAAGCCCCCGGCUCAACCGGGGAGGGUGAUUGGAAACUGGGAGACUUGAGUGCAGAAGAGGAGAGUGGAAUUCCAUGUGUAGCGGUGAAAUGCGUAGAUAUAUGGAGGAACACCAGUGGCGAAGGCGGCUCUCUGGUCUGUAACUGACGCUGAGGCUCGAAAGCGUGGGGAGCAAACAGG
rnacentral:rRNA from 1 species